AUGGCCGCCGCGGUCGUCCACCUCUCCGUCCACGCCCGCCUCCGCCGCUCGCCGGAGGUCGUCGUCUCUCAGGCGUGCCACCGCCCUUCCCUCCUCCGCUGCCGCGCGUUCAAGCAGGAGGCCGGCGGCGACGACGAGAAGCCGUCGUCGCCACCGAACGAGCCGCGGAAGUGCAGGAAGGGGCCGCUGUACACGCUGAAGGCGGCGAUCCAGGGGCUCGCGGGGUCCCGGUCGGCGGCGGCGGAGGUGUAUGGCGGGCAGCAACAGUACGAGCUCGCCGUCGAGAAGGCCGAGGAGAUCUUCUUCUCGGUUGCUACUCAGGUAGGCAGAUAUGUCAUCACUAUGAUGAGCAGUGGUGUUGUACUAGCAGUUGGAUUUCAGUUAUCAGGUGGAGACAGCCAAACGGAUGCACUAAUUUGGUAUAGCUGGCUUGGUGGAGUAAUUAUCGGCACAAUGCUAGGUGCAAACAGUGUCCUAGAGGAACACUGUAAAGCUGGACCUCGCAAUGUUGUCAUAACGGGAAGCACAAGAGGGUUAGGAAAAGCACUUGCUCGGGAGUUUCUUCUUUCUGGAGAUCAUGUUGUAAUUGCUUCCCGCAGCCCUGAUUCAGUUCUUCAGACCAUCAAUGAGCUUGAAGAGAACAUACAGGAGGGCUUGUCAGUUGCCAAGAAGAAACAAAGAGAAACUUUAUUACAAGCUAAGGUUGUUGGUACAUCUUGUGAUGUUUGCAAACCAGAAGAUGUAAAAAAGCUUGUAAAUUUUGCUGUUGGUGAGCUGGGUUCAAUUGACAUUUGGAUAAAUAAUGCUGGCACAAACAAAGGUUUCAGGCCACUGGUAAAUUUUUCAGAUGAAGAUAUUACCCAGAUCGUCUCAACAAACCUAGUUGGUUCUUUGCUCUGCACCAGAGAAGCUAUGGAUGUCAUGCAAUACCAAGAGAAGGGAGGUCAUGUAUUCAACAUGGAUGGAGCAGGAUCUGGAGGAUCAAGCACACCGUUGACAGCUGUUUAUGGCUCAACUAAGUGUGGACUAAGGCAGUUCCAAGCAUCGCUUAUGAAGGAAAGCAGAAGAUCAAAAGUUGGAGUACACACUGCAUCUCCUGGCAUGGUCCUUACAGAUCUCCUUCUAAGUGGCUCAUCUCUCCAAAAUAAACAGAUGUUCAAUAUAAUAUGCGAGCUUCCAGAAACAGUAGCAAGGACAUUGGUUCCAAGAAUGCGAGUUGUGAAAGGAAGUGGAAAGGCAGUAAACUACUUGACACCACCAAGAAUCUUGCUUGCCUUGGUUACUGCAUGGGUUCGCCGAGGCCGAUGGUUUGACGAAGAGGGGAGAGCAGUAUAUGCAGCCGAGGCUGAUAGAAUUCGCAAUUGGGCUGAAAGUCGAACACGCAUCUCCUUCACAGAUGCCAUGGAGAUGUACACAGAGAAUACAUGGGUUUCCGUGUUCUCACUCUCUGUCGUCUGUGCGUUCAUAAUGCUUUCCAGUUCGGGCGGACCUUUCCCUGGCACAUAA
rnacentral:rRNA from 1 species